rnacentral:rRNA from 1 species
UACGGAGGGUGCGAGCGUUGUCCGGAAUCACUGGGCGUAAAGGGCGCGUAUGCGGCGCGGCAAGUCUGUGGUGAAAGCCCGAGGCUCAACUUCGGGUCGGCCAUGGAUACUGCUGCGCUCGAGCACUGUAGAGGCAGGUGGAAUUCCGGGUGUAGCGGUGGAAUGCGUAGAGAUCCGGAAGAACACCGGUGGCGUAGGCGGCCUGCUGGGCAGUAGCUGACGCUGAGGCGCGAAAGCGUGGGGAGCGAACAGG